UACGAAGGGGGCUAGCGUUGCUCGGAAUCACUGGGCGUAAAGGGUGCGUAGGCGGGUUUUAAGUCAGAGGUGAAAUCCUGGAGCUCAACUCCAGAACUGCCUUUGAUACUGAAGAUCUUGAGUCCGGAAGAGGUGAGUGGAACUGCGAGUGUAGAGGUGAAAUUCGUAGAUAUUCGCAAGAACACCAGUGGCGAAGGCGGCUCACUGGUCCGGUACUGACGCUGAGGCACGGAAAGCGAUGGGGAGCAAACAGGGA
rnacentral:rRNA from 1 species